CUUGGUUAAAAUUUUAUAGGAAAAUUCUUCCUUCUAGAAGCAAUAUUGGCGGAUAAACUCCCUCCAAGUCUCCAACUCCUCCAAGUGCAUAUAAAAAAAAAGUGAAAAAUCGUAGUAAAACUUCUAAAGUGGAAAAUAACUUAUGAUCCAUACCAGAAAAUACCAUUAUCUUCUGAUUUCAAGCAUUUAUCCAUCAUCUACCUUACUCUAUUCUCUUACUCAAGUGGGAAAUCUCAAAUUCAUAGGGAUUGACCCAUUUUGAUGAGUUCUACAAGUAGCUGAUGGCAUUGUCCUCUUUCGUGGAAAUUUGGGAAUUGAUCUCCCACUAGAGAAGGUCUAGUUCUUUUUCCCAUGGUGUUUUUGGAAAAUUAUGUGUAUUUCUUGAAUGUGAAUCAAGGUUUUAAUGAAGCAAUUUAAACAAUCUACAGACAAUGGUAUUUUUAUUCCAAAAGGCUGCUCUGCUCAAGUGUAACAUGGCUGGUAAGCCAGUAGUGGUUACUCGUGUGGUGGAUAGCAUGACCGAUAACCUUAAUUAGACCCACACGAGCUGAGGCAUUUGAUGUUGCAAAUGCUGUAUUAGAUGGGAGUAAUGCAAUUAUUCUAGGUGCAGAGACCUUUCGUAGCUUAUAUCCAGUUGAUACCAUCUCUACUGUUGGCAGAAUGUGUUUUGAGGGUAAGCAGCUUGCUUGACAACAAGAUGAAGAUUGUUAGCUAAUGGAAUGAAUUUCUACAAGUGAUUAAUCUGCCAUUGAUUUCAUCGCUAAAGAGAAGGAUUUUUUGUUGACGUUUCGUUUGAGAAGGAGGUUGCUAAUUGGAUUAAGAAUGUGAGAGAAUAGCUUAAGGUGAAACAAGGCUAUUGUUGUUGCAUUUGCUGAGUGUUGCUGCAUCUGCUUCUGCUUCGUUUCAUAUUUCAGAUUAUGUGUCGUGUAUGUCAGGACAGAUGUGGUUGUAUAUGGGAACAUAUGCGCUUGAUGCUGUAGUUGUUUGUUUUGUUGUCCAUACGAUGCUGCUACUGCUGUUGUCUUGAUCAUUCCAAUGUAAUCAAUGUCCAUAUGUUGCUGCUGUUUUCAUUUGUUAUACAGGCUUCCAGCCAUGUUUGAAACUUCUAUUUAUUUGUAAAGAAUUUGCAAUGUAUAAUUUACACAAGUUUUAUGAGAAUAACCUCUUGUAAGUAUAUGUUAUACUAUCUGCAAUUCUGCAUUAUUAA